rnacentral:rRNA from 1 species
AAUUUCUUGGAACAGAACGUCGCAGAGGGUGAGAAUCCCGUACGUGACCGGUGACCAAGCCCGUGUGAAGCCCCUUCGACGAGUCGAGUUGUUUGGGAAUGCAGCUCAAAAUGGGUGGUAAAUUCCAUCUAAAGCUAAAUAUUGGCCAGAGACCGAUAGCGGACAAGUAGAGUGAUCGAAAGAUGAAAAGCACUUUGGAAAGAGAGUUAAACAGUACGUGAAAUUGUUGAAAGGGAAGCGCUUGCGACCAGACCGGUCCGGGGGCGAUCAGCCGCUGCUCGUCAGCGGUGCACUCGCCUCCGAUCCGGCCAGCAUCGGUUUGGGCGGCGGGAUAAAAGUCCCGGGAAUGUAGCUUCCCUCGGGGAGUCUUAUAGCCCGGGUCGCAAUGCCGCCCGCCUGGACCGAGGACCGCGCUUCGGCUAGGAUGCUGGCGUAAUGGUCGCAAGCGACCCGUCUUGAAACACGGACCAAGGAGUCUAACAUCUAUGCGAGUGUUUGGGUGUCAAACCCAGGCGCGGAAUGAAAGUGAACGGAGGUGGGAACCCGUCAGACGGCCGCACCAUCGACCGAUCCUGAUGUCUUCGGAUGGAUUUGAGUAUGAGCAUAGCUGUUGGGACCCGAAAGAUGGUGAACUAUGCCCGGAUAGGGUGAAGCCAGAGGAAACUCUGGUGGAGGCUCGCAGCGGUUCUGACGUGCAAAUCGAUCGUCAAAUCUAGGCAUAGGGGCGAAAGACCAAUCGAACC